rnacentral:lncRNA from 1 species
UAGUAAAUUAGGUUUGGUAAUAAGUCAAAAUGUGUGUACAUUUUGUAUUUCAUUUCUAAAUAACUUCACGUAUAGUAAUGACAACCCACAUAAAACUAGUAUCGCUUAAAAAAAUCAUUGAUGAACAUAAAUCAUUGAUGAACAUAGAAAUAUCAUCACUUAUGGUAAACAAGUUGCAAACCAACUUCAAAUUAUGGUAAAUAUGUUUGAAAUGUUAUUGAAAUGAUCUAAAACUUGUGGGAACUGUGCAUGAAACCAGGCAAGGUCGUGAAACCCGAUUGAGUAAUGAAUAAAUGAGCAAAGAAAUCGUUUAGAUAUUUUCCGGACAUGUCCGCACCCACAAUCGACUGAGAUAAUCUUAUGUCUUGAUCAUCUUUACAUACUUUCAUACAAGUCUAUUUUGUUCACGAUAAUUUUUUAGUUUAUCUAGUAGCAAAAUAUAGCAUCACCUCGGUCCGUUGAAUUGUUUUUUUACUUCUCAGUUGACUUUAAAAACCUAUUUUUAUAUAUUUACAAAAUGUUUGUCAUCAUGUUGUAGCAAUUUGUUCAAGUGCAAAACAUGAAGUAUUUAUUCCCAACAAGAACAUGUGAAACCAUGCAUGGAUCUUAAUAUUGGAUCAAUGGUUCUCGGCAUCAAAUGAGCGCUAAGAGAUUCUCAAGUGACUAAAAAAUAGCAAACCAUAUGAAAUAUAUGUGUUAACACUUGCCAUCAGCUUAUAGGUGGAGAGGACUUCACCAUCUACAUGGCAGUCGUUCCGUCCGAAAAAAGCUUUUCUCUAGUGCAUGUUGGUCCAUUCUCAACAUCAUGCACGCUACCUACAUGUUUCAUUAAAAUCUACUUCCUUCGUUUUUAAAUAUAAUUUUUUUAGAGAUUUAAUAUAAAUUACAUAUAAAGCAAAAUGAAAUAACCUACACUCUAAAAUAUGUCUAUAUACACUUGUGUAUAGUUCAUAUUAAAAUCUCUAAAAAAACUAUAUUUAGAAACGGAGGGAGUAUCUUUCAAAGAAGGUGUUAUAAUCAUGUCAAAAAUGCCUUCAACAAGAUAGGCGUAGCUCUAUUAGCUCUCUUGUGAGGACUAUGAUAAUGGGAGAGCGGCGUUACUGAGAGUGGGACUAUCUGAACAUGGUAUCCUGGACGUUCGUCCAUGUCUGGGGAUGUGCGCUAGUGG